UAGGGAAUAUUGGACAAUGGGGGCAACCCUGAUCCAGCCAUGCCGCGUGAGUGAAGAAGGCCCUCGGGUUGUAAAGCUCUUUUGUCCGGAAAGAAAAGCUUCGGGUUAAUACCCCGGGGUUCUGACGGUACCGGAAGAAUAAGCACCGGCUAACUUCGUGCCAGCAGCCGCGGUAAUACGGAGGGUGCGAGCGUUACUCGGAAUUACUGGGCGUAAAGCGUGCGUAGGUGGUUGUUUAAGUCUGAUGUGAAAGCCCUGGGCUCAACCGGGGAAUGGCAUUUGAAACUGGGCAGCUAGAGUGCGGUAGAGGGUAGUGGAAUUCCCGGUGUAGCAGUGAAAUGCGUAGAGAUCGGGAGGAACAUCUGUGGCGAAGGCGACUGCCUGGACCAGCACUGACACUGAGGCACGAAAGCGUGGGGAGCAAACA
rnacentral:rRNA from 1 species